rnacentral:rRNA from 1 species
GACAGAGGGUGCGAGCGUUUGUUCGGAAUUACUGGGCGUAAAGCGCGCGCAGGCGGAUCCUGCAAGUCGGAAGUGAAAUGUGGCUGCUCAACGGCCACGCUGCUUCCGAUACUGCGGAUCUGGGGACCGGUAGAGGCUGGUGGAAUUGCAGGUGUAGCGGUGGAAUGCGUAGAGAUCUGCAAGAACACCCGUGGCGAAGGCGGCCAGCUGGGCCGGAUCCGACGCUGAGGCGCGAAAGCGUGGGGAGCAAACAGG